CCUAGCUUAAUUUCUUCAUUUUCUAAAAACAAAAAAGAUAUAGACAGAAGCAUGCCAUCUACUUGUAAGCACCUUUUUGACUUCUGCUUUUAACUCGUCACUCUUACCAUCGGAAACACUAAAGCUCCUAAAGAGCACUCUCUUAUAGGUGAACUGUAGCAUUCUUACCAUUGCCAUGAGAUCAACCAAUCCUUCUGCACUGAAUCUUCCCAUGC
rnacentral:lncRNA from 1 species